rnacentral:rRNA from 1 species
UACAGGGGGUGCAAACGUUGCUCGGAAUUAUUGGGCGUAAAGCGCGCGUAGGCGGCUACCUAAGUCGGAUGUGAAAGCCCCUGGCUUAACUGGGGAAGUGCACCCGAAACUGAGUAGCUAGAGUACGAAAGAGGGUCGCGGAAUUCCCGGUGUAGAGGUGAAAUUCGUAGAUAUCGGGAGGAACACCGGUGGCGAAGGCGGCGACCUGGGUCGAUACUGACGCUGAGGUGCGAAAGCGUGGGGAGCAAACAGG